CACGCCGUAAACGAUGAAUGCCAGUCGUCGGCAAGCAUGCUUGUCGGUGACACACCUAACGGAUUAAGCAUUCCGCCUGGGGAGUACGGUCGCAAGAUUAAAACUCAAAGGAAUUGACGG
rnacentral:rRNA from 1 species